UUGGGUAUAGCUGGGUCAAAUGGUGGUUCCCAGUUUUCCAAGGAAUCUCCAUACUGCUUUCCACAUUGGCUGCACCAAUUUGCACUCCCACCAGCAAU
rnacentral:pre_miRNA from 1 species